GAUGAACGCUGGCGGCGUGCCUAACACAUGCAAGUCGAGCGAACAGUCGAGGUGCUUGCUCCUCUGACGUUAGCAGCGGACGGGAGCGUAACACGUGGAUAACCUACCUAUCAGACUGGGAUAACUUCGGCAAACCAGAGCUAAUACCGGAAAAUAUAAUGCACCGCAUGGUUCACUAGUGAAAGACGGUUUUGCUGUCACUUAAAGAUGGAUCCGCGACGCAUUAGCUAGUUGGUUGGGUAACGACUUACCAACACAACGAUGCGUAGCCGACCAGAGAGAGGGAUCGGCCACGCUGGAACUGGGGGAUGGUCCAGACUCCUGCGGGAGGCAGCAGUAGGCAAUCACCCGCGAUGGGCGAAAGGGUGACGGAGCAACGCCGCGUGAGUGAUGGAGGUAUUCGGGUCGGGAGACUGUGUUAUUAGGGAAGGUCAAAUGUGUAAGUAACUGUGCACGUAAUGACGGUACCUGGACAAUAAGCCACGGCUAACUCCGUG
rnacentral:rRNA from 1 species